GAAUCUGGAGACAGGUGCUGCAUGGCUGUCGUCAGCUCGUGUCGUGAGAUGUGGGUUAAGUCCCGCAACGAGCGCAACCCUUGCCUUUAGUUGCCAGCAGUUCGGCUGGGCACUCUAAAGGGACUGCCGGUGUUAAACCGGAGGAAGGUGGGGAUGACGUCAAGUCCUCAUGGCCUUUAUGUCCAGGGCGACACACGUGCUACAAUGGCCGGCACAACGGGAAGCGAGUUCGCGAGGACGAGCGGAUCCCUCAAAGCCGGUCGCAGUUCGGAUUGAAGUCUGCAACUCGACUUCAUGAAGCUGGAAUCGCUAGUAAUCGUGGAUCAGCCAAGCCGCGGUGAAUACGUUCCCGGCCUU
rnacentral:rRNA from 1 species